rnacentral:rRNA from 1 species
AUUGAACGCUGGCGGCAUGCCUUACACAUGCAAGUCGAACGGCAGCGGACCUUCGGGUGCCGGCGAGUGGCGAACGGGUGAGUAAUAUAUCGGAACGUACCUUCCAGUGGGGGAUAACGUAGCGAAAGUUACGCUAAUACCGCAUAUUCUGUGAGCAGGAAAGCAGGGGAUCGCAAGACCUUGCGCUGAUUGAGCGGCCGAUAUCAGAUUAGCUAGUUGGUGAGGUAAAGGCUCACCAAGGCGACGAUCUGUAGCGGGUCUGAGAGGAUGAUCCGCCACACUGGAACUGAGACACGGUCCAGACUCCUACGGGAGGCAGCAGUGGGGAAUUUUGGACAAUGGGCGCAAGCCUGAUCCAGCCAUGCCGCGUGAGUGAAGAAGGCCUGG